AGUAGGCAUCUUAGGAGCAUGCAGAAAGUCUGUAAGAGCCAAAGAAUCAGGUAUAGGAUUGUGCCUUAUAGAUAUGAGUAGGAUGCAACACUCCUACAAUGUCAACAAUAUGGCUGCCUAACCAAGACAUGAGCAAUGAAAGCACCAGUUGAUAUGUCAAGGAGAUGUGGGAAAUCUCAAGCAAAAAGUGAUUAGGACUUUAAAGUGCCAACAACUAUUUUCCUCAGCUCAGUAAGAAGUUUUCUGGUGACUGCAUGAAGAUAUGAUGAAGUAUAGCUCCAAUCCUUUAAAGGUGAUCAAAACUACCUUGGCAUUCAUAAUAAAGACUGUAAGACACUUCGCAUGCUAUGCUAAUGCAAGGAUGGCAGAGCAUCAGCCAAGAUAUAACAGGAAAAUCUCCUGGUAAAACUGAGGAGUUUAUGGGAUGGUUGACAGCACAGAUGUGGCUUCAUCUUCAGACCCUUCAUCUUCAGACUUCUCCAGUGUGGGACUUGCAGAGUUCUUUUUUUCUAGAGGGCUUUCUGCUUCCUCUUAUUCUUUGGGAGAAGGAGUAUUGUUUUAAAUUUCAGUGACAAAAAGAGUCUACCCCUCACAGUGCAUUUCUUCACAGGUCAAUGAUGUUAAAGUUUUAAUCAAAUAAAGAUUGAAUUAGUGUGAAGC